CAAGUCGAACGGUGUCUUCGGACAUAGUGGCGCACGGGUGCGUAACACGUAUGCAACCUACCUUACAUUGGGGGAUAGCCUUUCGAAAGGGAGAUUAAUACCGCAUAAGACAGUAGCUGGGCAUCCAGCAGCUGUUAAAGAUUUAUCGAUGUAAGCUGGGCAUGCGUCCAAUUAGCUAGUUGGUGAGGUAACGGCUCACCAAGGCUAUGAUUGGUAGGGGAACUGAGAGGUCAAUCCCCCACACUGGCACUGAGAUACGGGCCAGACUCCUACGGGAGGCAGCAGUAGGGAAUAUUGGGCAAUGGACGCAAGUCUGACCCAGCCAUGCCGCGUGCAGGAUGAAGGCGUUAUGCGUUGUAAACUGCUUUUAUACAGGAAGAAACGACUCUUGCGAGAGGCAUUGACGGUACUGUAUGAAUAAGCACCGGCUAACUCCGUGCCAGCAGCCGCGGUAAUACGGAGGGUGCAAGCGUUGUCCGGAUUUAUUGGGUUUAAAGGGUGCGCAGGUGGUUUAUUAAGUCAGUGGUGAAAGACGGUCGCUCAACGAUUGCAGUGCCAUUGAAACUGGUAGACUUGAGUAAAGUAGAGGUGGGCGGAAUUGAUAGUGUAGCGGUGAAAUGCAUAGAUAUUAUCAAGAACUCCAAUUGCGUAGGCAGCUCACUUGGCUUUUACUGACACUCAUGCACGAAAGUGUGGGUAUCAAACAGGAUUAGAUACCCUGGUAGUCCACACUGUAAACGAUGAUAACUAGGUGUCGGCCGAAUCUGGUCGGUGCCACAGCGAAAGCGUUAAGUUAUCCACCUGGGGAGUACGCCGGCAACGGUGAAACUCAAAGGAAUUGACGGG
rnacentral:rRNA from 1 species